rnacentral:rRNA from 1 species
GACGAACGCUGGCGGCGUGCCUAAUACAUGCAAGUUGAGCGCUGAAGGUUGGUACUUGUACCAACUGGAUGAGCAGCGAACGGGUGAGUAACGCGUUGGGAAUCUGCCUUUGAGCGGGGGACAACAUUUGGAAACGAAUGCUAAUACCGCAUAAAAACUUUAAACACAAGUUUUAAGUUUGAAAGAUGCAAUUGCAUCACUCAAAGAUGAUCCCGCGUUGUAUUAGCUAGUUGGUGAGGUAAAGGCUCACCAAGGCGAUGAUACAUAGCCGACCUGAGAGGGUGAUCGGCCACAUUGGGACUGAGACACGGCCCAAACUCCUACGGGAGGCAGCAGUAGGGAAUCUUCGGCAAUGGACGAAAGUCUGACCGAGCAACGCCGCGUGAGUGAAGAAGGUUUUCGGAUCGUAAAACUCUGUUGGUAGAGAAGAACGUUGGUGAGAGUGGAAAGCUCAUCAAGUGACGGUAACUACCCAGAAAGGGACGGCUAACUACGUG